GGUAGUGGUGGCAGAAAGCGAAGGGUUAAAUUAACUCAGGAAAGUCCGCCCACUAGUGGCUUGAGAACACCAGUGUUCUCUAGUUCACAACACGGUCACCUCAGGAAUGAGGAUGGAGAAAUCCCAUAGCUCUGGCUUAGAAACGAAACGUCCUUAUCUUAGGAUGAAUAUGGCGAAGCUUCCAGAGAUGGAAGUCAGUUAACCCAAAGACGUUGGAUAAGGGAACGAUGAAACGGCGAAUCUUUGACCGGUGCAAGUCAGUUUUGACGCUUAGUAGAAUGCUUUCAUAGACUAUCGGAAAGUUACUUACUUUCUUUGGGUCUUACAAAAGGCGGCUUACGCCACCCUACC
rnacentral:RNase_P_RNA from 1 species